rnacentral:rRNA from 1 species
CAGCAGCCGCGGUAAAACGAAGGGUGCAAGCGUUAAUCGGAAUUACUGGGCGUAAAGCGUGCGUAGGCGGUGAGUUAAGUCUGCUGUGAAAUCCCCGGGCUCAACCUGGGAAUGGCAGUGGAUACUGGCUCGCUAGAGUGUGUCAGAGGAUGGUGGAAUUCCCGGUGUAGCGGUGAAAUGCGUAGAGAUCGGAAGGAACAUCAGUGGCGAAGGCGGCCAUCUGGGACAACACUGACGCUGAGGCACGAAAGCGUGGGGAGCAAACAGGAUUAGAUACCCCCUAGUCCCUGUCUCUUAUACA